CGUCCUGUAAUAGACCCGGGCAGCCCAGGGAGAGAUUUCAUAAAUCAAAUUCCUUCUGCUUUCAGUCUGAUUAAACUGUCCGGUCCAAACUCUCUUUAAGUGUAGACAGACUGAAAACAAAUAUUAAACAAUUAUAUAUAUAUAUAAAAAAAGGAGUGGGCUUAAAGAAGUUACAGAGAGAACGAGGUGUCUAGUAGAGGGAGCUCUAUCCGAUUAGUCAGGAGGAUUUUUAAGCCACACACUGACAUGCUCGCAGGAACACAUGCUUACAUGCUCAAGCUACAGCGGUACAGCCAUCCGCCGCCGCCCGGGGGGUUUGGCUUCACAAAAUGCCAUCACAAAAAAGAGAUUGCUAACAGUUUACGCCACGCUGACACUUUCCAGCUGGCUACCCGCAAAGGUCAGGCUCUCCACCUGCAGGCGGCGGCAGAAAGGGAGAGGAGCUGACGUCACCACGGAGAUCUGGCAGCCUCGCCAGCGCGCUAACCAGUUCAUCGUUUAGUCAGGGCGUGGGCCGUUCAAGACGUCGUGCUAACAGCUAAAGGCUAACGCCACCGGCAGCCGGGCUCUGCUGGAUGUGCCAAAGAAAAGAUAGGGACAAGCCUCAGUGACAGCAACAGCCAGCCGAGCAGCACAGCGCCAAGGCCUUUCCUGCACCGCCACCAGCAGCUGCACACAAAUGCAAUUUAAAGAAACACACACUGUUUUACACUAUAUUAUUUCAUGUUAAAAUGUCUCUUUUUCAUCUGCA